rnacentral:ribozyme from 1 species
UUUUUUUUUUUUUUCUCUUUCUUCAUGAAACGAAAGGAGAGAAGAAAACCAACCAACCAACCAACGAAUUCGCUGAAUUGAUCAUUUCAUUCAUUUCUUUUCCUUCCGUCUUCCGGAGGAAAUUUAACAAAAGAGACGAGAGGAGAGGC